CCACCACUCCCGGCUUCCAUCAGCAUCCUACAGUGCUGUCCUUCCCUUUUGGCCUACUGGCAAGGAACAAGGAACAAGGAACAAGUCCAUCCUGGCAUAUAACCACCGUGCAGAGCAGCUGCCAUCCCCAGCCCCAGCACCCUGCAGACAGACCUUCCUUGGAGCCAUGCAUGGUGUGUAUUUGGUUGCGGAGUUCCUCCUAGAAAUGCAUCGGUUUGGAGAUUCCUACAGCCACGUGGGACCUGAUUGGAUAAUGAAAAUCUCAUCUGCAGAUCUUGGCUGCAAGCUGAAAGUCUUUCAAGAAACCAUUUCCAGGGGACUAAGUCUACCUCUGGGCCUGUUUCUAAGAUUUGCUCUGGGACUCCUUACAGGCAGAGCAUAAUGGAAGAGUCUUUGCUGGGUCUCACAAACACCGCUAUUUCAGCGCAGCCAGUCAAAAGGAUGAUGAAGGAACUGAUGCACGCAGGAGCUGCGUAUCUGCAGCCAAGGUCAGGUUCAGUGACCCUUUGAGGCAAAGUGCUUUGUUCAUGGUGACCGGCCACUUGUGUGGGAUUUCUGGACGCCACCUGAAGGAGAGAUACCAGAAAUGUGCUGUUUUGAUAGCCUAUUAUUCAAAGUGCAUGUGAGGUUUUUUGGGGAAAGGGAAUGCAGCAGAGUUAAAGCAAUAGGCCACUGCCCUGCUCAGUAUAUCCAGCAGAGCAGAGCGAAAGGACGGCACAAGUUUUAUAUCUUAAAUAAAUAAACCUUUCUGAUCCUUCAGGCAGAAUCUACAGUUCUGCAAUGUAUUCUUGUGAGCUGUUGCUUUACUGUAAAUAUCCUUUGUUAUAUUAAAUCAUCUGUC
rnacentral:lncRNA from 7 species